rnacentral:rRNA from 1 species
AAUCAACGCUGGCGGCGUGCCUAACACAUGCAAGUCGAACGCGGUUACUCCGCAAGGGGUGACUGAGUGGCGAACGGGUGAGUAACACGUGGGUGAUCUACCUUCGAGUGGGGGAUAACGUUCCGAAAGGAACGCUAAUACCGCAUGACGUUCUGGGUUUGAAGACCUGGAAACCAAAGCUGGGGACCGCAAGGCCUGGCGCUUGGAGAGGAGCCCGCGUCCGAUUAGCUAGUUGGUGGGGUAAGGCCCACCAAGGCGACGAUCGGUAGCCGGCCUGAGAGGGCGGACGGCCACACUGGGACUGAGACGCGGCCCAGACUCCUACGGGAGGCAGCAGUGGGGAAUUGUUCGCAAUGGGCGCAAGCCUGACGACGCAACGCCGCGUGGGGAUGAAGGUCCUCGGAUCGUAAACCCCUGUCGAGCGGGACGAACGGCCCGCGAUUGAAUAGAUCGUGGGAGUGACGGUACCGCUAAAGGAAGCCACGGCU